rnacentral:rRNA from 1 species
UUGGAGGGCAAGUCUGGUGCCAGCAGCCGCGGUAAUUCCAGCUCCAAUAGCGUAUAUUAAAGUUGCUGCAGUUAAAAAGCUCGUAGUUGAAUUUCGGGACCAUCAUGUCGGUCGUGCCUCGGUACGUACUGGCAUUGUUGGUUUCUUCCUUCUGACGAACCAUGAUGUCAUUUAUUUGGUGUUGUGGGGAAUCAGGACUGUUACUUUGAAAAGAUUAGAGUGUUUAAAGCAGGCUCACGCUUGAAUACAUUAGCAUGGAAUAAUGAAAUAGGACGUUUGAUUCUAUUUUGUUGGUUUCUAGGAUCGACGUAAUGAUUAAUAGGGAUAGUUGGGGGCAUUAGUAUUCAAUUGUCAGAGGUGAAAUUCUUGGAUUUACUGAAGACUAACUACUGCGAAAGCAUUUGCCAAGGAUGUUUUUAUUAAUCAAGAACGAAAGUUAGGGGAUCGAAGACGAUCAGAUACCGUCGUAGUCUUAACCAUAAACUAUGCCGACUAGGGAUCGGAUGAUGUUAAUUUUUUAAUGACUCAUUCGGCGCCUUACGGAAACCAAAGUGUUUGGGUUC